rnacentral:rRNA from 1 species
GACGAACGCUGGCGGCGUGCUUAACACAUGCAAGUCGAACGGAAAGGCCCCUUUGGGGGUCCUCGAGUGGCGAACGGGUGCGUAACACGGGAGUAACCUGCCCUUGACUUCGGGAUAACUUCAAGAAACUGGGGCUAAUACCGGAUAGGAAUCCUUGCUGCAUGGAGUGGGUUGGAAAGCGUCGGCGGUGUUUGAUGGACUCGCGGCGUAUCAGCUUGUUGGUGGGGUGGUGGCUUACCAAGGCUUUGACGGGUAGCCGGCCUGAGAGGGAGACCGGCCACAUUGGGACUGGGAUACGGCCCAGACUCCUACGGGAGGCAGCAGUGGGGAAUAUUGCACGAUGGGCGGAAGCCUGAUGCAGCAACGCCGCGUGCGGGAUGACGGCCUUCGGGUUGUAAACCGCUUUCAGCAGGGGCGAAGCUUGUGGUGACGGUACCUGCAGAAGAAGCACCGGCUAACUACGUG